GACGGGGGAUGCAAGUGUUAUCCGGAAUCACUGGGCGUAAAGCGUCUGCAGGUGGUUUCCUAAGUCCACUGUUAAACCUUGAGGCUCAACCUCAAAUCUGCAUUGGAAACUAGGAGACUUGAGUAUAGUAGGGGUAGAGGGAAUUUCCAGUGGAGCGGUGAAAUGCGUAGAUAUCAGGAGGAACACCAAUGGCGAAGGCAGCACUCUGGGACGUGACUGACGCUGAGACGCGAAAGCGUGGGGAGCAAACAGG
rnacentral:rRNA from 1 species